GGAAAGUUGAAAAGCACUCUGAAUAGAGAGUCAAAUAGUACGUGAAACUGCCUAGGGGUUCAAACCCGUUGAACUCAAUUAUCCGGGCGGCGAUAUUCACCUGCGCUCGUCACCCGUCGCUUGCGGCGGUGUGGCUGCAGGGCACUUAUCGUUCGCAGUUAACGGACAUCGCGAUCCAUUACAAAAGUGCAAUUUGCGUGCAAACGUGAAAGCAUUAUCCAACACCAGGUCCUGGCUUGCGUUGUCGACCCCCUAGUAGUGGCAGUUAGCUUCGAAUGCUUGCGCCGCAAACGGGGGUUCCGGGUGUUCCGUGCUUGCACGGGGCCCCGGGCUCACCUCGCGGUGGUGUACCGUUGGAUGCGUGAUGGGUCGAACGGGCAGACGGUAGCACAUGCUUCGGCAUGUACCGGCACCUAGCCAUGGGCCACCGCUCUCCCGAUCGGCGAUGGGCACCACUAAUUGAGGUACCUCCGGGACCCGUCUUGAAACACGGACCAAGAAGUCUAU
rnacentral:rRNA from 1 species